rnacentral:lncRNA from 1 species
UCCAAAAUGCAGCAGUCUGAUUGGUCCUAGAACAAUGCAGCAGUAUGAGAGGUCCGCAGGAGCCACCCAAUCCAGCUCCAGAUGGAAGUGAAUCCACAACCUGAUUGGCCUACAGGAGAAUCCCAGAAUUAGCCAAUCACGUGCAGCCCAUUGUGUAAAUAAUGUCUAUAAAGCAGAUACUUUGGGGGAACUUUCAUUCCUCCUCACCACUAUGAGC